rnacentral:lncRNA from 1 species
GUUCCGGAACGCCGCGGCCCAGGGCUGCCACCUCCGCGGGGAACACCCUUGCUCUGCCCAGCUGGCGGGAGCAUCAUCUGCCCCCCCGCCACCCAGCCGGGAGCCCGAUCCGACUCAGGAUUACACUGACAUCACUGCGAGAGAUGCUGGGAUCAUUCCCCGGGGGAGGGAAGGAAAGACGCGUGUCAGCCUCGCAGUCGCGGCGCUUUCUGCAGGCCCUGGCAAGCUUUUUUGCACUAGUUUGGGGGGAGCGGGAGAGUGUGGAUGAGGAUGCAGCAUAGCUGGGCAUCUUCUUUGAAAAUCUACCCGUUGGAAGGUCCGGGUAUUUAAUUAGGACCUCUUCAUCCCAAGCAGCAGGGCGAGAAUGUCCCAAAAUAACUAACCCAGAGAGUACACUCCAGCCUUCCUAGCCAAGUGUCCUGAGGCUACGUUAACAGGCAGAACUAAAUCUAGUAAAGUGCAGGGAUUAAUGAACAAACAGUUAAAGCAACAAGAUCCCUCACCUACACCCCCAUUUCUGAGGCGGACGCCCCUUUCCCUGGAGAAAAAAUUUGUCCUCCUAAAGAGGGGAUGUCCUGAAGAGAAGACGGCAAAUCAUUCCUUCUGAAGGACUCUGAUGUCUCAGCUUGCUGGGCUUUUGCUUUUUUUUUUUUUUUUUUUUUUUUUUAACCUGUUUUGGUUUACCCCUACUGUAACUCCUGAAAUGUGAAACCUAGAUAAAAGUUACUGCUGGGUUUUCUUGUUCAAAGAAGAGAAGAGAUUCUGUUCAUCUGUAGACAGUUAAUGCAUCCUCUUGACUUCUCAGGGUGUCUUUUCUCAAGGCUUGCUGUUACUCAUUUCAACACCCGAUUUUAUUUUAACGGUAAAGAGCUCAACAGUUAUCUUAGUUGAAAUUUUGUUUUGUUUUUGACAAAUGAAAACAAAUGAAUUGCUUUGUUUUUUCACAAAUGAAUUAUCACAUCAAAUGCAAUGAAGAUCCCAAGCUCUGGCAUCAGACUUGAUUCAAAUCCUGGUUCUAGGGCCUGGGUCAAGUAACUAGACUUUUCUGUUCCUUCAAUUCCUCAUCUAUGAAAUGAAGAUAAUCAAGACCUACCUCUUAAUAUAGCGGUGGAUCGAAUGUGCUAUGAUGAUGGAGGAUUUCUCACUGUGAGAGAAGUGAGCCACCAGAUAGAGAGGACACUCAAACAGCCCCAUGCAGAGGCCAAUAUAGAAAGGAUAAAAUAGCCAGCAUCAACUUACCGGCUUUGUAAGAGAGCCUUUAUAACUGAAUCCACUGCCCCGGUCAAGCCUUCAGAUGACUGCAGCUCUAGCCUACAUCUGGCUGCAAUCUCAGGUGUUCAGAUCAAGGGAAACUACUCUAAGAGGCUACACUUGAGGAACAACAACCAAGGAGCUUCAACUGCAUCUGGAUUUCAGGAGUCUGGAAAACUUUUCUUUUGAGCUAUUGACAGCCUUUAACAACUGAGUAAAGUGUACUCCUGUGAACAAAAUUCAGAGCCUGUUUGUUUCUCUCUACCUGAUUUCUCCAGAAUUUGGAAACUAUUUACUGACUCUUCUUAUUUCUGUUAACCAACCAGUGAUCUCUGGCUGCUGCUCAGAAGAACUAAGAAGGAUGGGUAAUAUAAAAUCCAGAUCAAUAUUCUUAUUCUGGGCACAUAUUGGAAUCAGCUAACAACCCCAUAUCAGUUUGGUUCCAACAAUUGCCCAGUUCAUGGAAAGCCUCUAAUUUUGUUUAUUUGGGAUGAUUUUGCUUAUUUUGCUUUACUAUUGUGGAAUAUAUUGCUGUUGUACUCUUUGUGUAGGAAUGCAGGAUAUGCUUGCUGAAUGUUUUCUUAAAUUGAACCCUUAUUCCUCUUCCAGGUACCAUCUUUUGUUGGAACUCAGUUACAAAUAACCCUCACCAUACCAGCACUUUCUGAAUGAGCUCCUCUCUACCCUGAAGGCAAAAGACCCAAUAGUUAGGCUGGAAUAUUAUCACCCCUAUUCAGCCUGAAGAAGUUACAGAAAAUGGAUCUUCAUCUGUCUACAACCCUUAGGAUUAAGUGUUCUCUUAUAAUAGGGAGGGGGGAAUUGUCAGAGGCAUUUGAAUCAAAGCAACUCCAUUUCACACAGGGGCUAAGUGAAAUAAGGCUAAGACCUACUAGGCUGCAUUCCCAGGAGGUUAAGACAUUCUAAGUCACAGGAUGAGACAGGAGAGCGGCAUAAGAUGCAGGUCAGAAAGAUCUUGUGGAUAAAACAGGUUGCAGUAAAGAAGCCAGCCAAAACAUCAAAACCAAGAUGGCGACAAAAGUGACUUCUGGUCGUCUGCACUGCUACAUUCCCGCCAGCACCACGGCAGUUUACAAAUGCCAUGGCAAUGUCAGGAGGUUGCCCUACAUGUUCUAAAAUGGGGAGGAACCCUCAGUUCCAGGAAUUGCCCACCCCUUUCCUGGAAAACUCAUGAAUAAUCCACCCUUUGUUUAGCAUAUAAACAAGAAAUAACCAUAAAAAUGGGCAACUAGGUGUGCACCACUGCUCUUCUUAUGGAGUAGCCAUUCUUUCAUUCCUUUACUUUCAUAAUAAACUUGCUUUCACUUAAAAAAAAACUUGACCCUUACCUUAUGCCAUGUAUAAAAAUUAACUCACAAUGAAUCAGGAGGUAUUCCUUUUUCCUGACUGCCUUUGAACUGGGACAUCAUUUUUUUCCCUGUCUUCAGACUUGAACUGAAACAUCAGCUUUUCUUGAGUCUCAACCUGCUGUUCUUUGGACUAGAACUGCACCAUUGGCUCUCUUGGGUUUCCAGCUUAACAACUGUAGAUCUUGGAACUUGGCAGCUUUCAUAAAUACAUGAGUUAAUUUCUUAAAAUAAAUAUAUUCAUAUGUAUGUAUAUAAAAUACAUAUCUAUCUAUCUAUCUAUCUAUCUAUCUAUCUAUCUAUCUAUCUAUCUUCUAUUGAUUUUUUUUUCUCUGGAGAACCCUGACUAGUACAGCUACAUAUAGUGUGGUAUUGGUGUUAAAGAUCAAUAAAGCAGCAUGCAGAAUUCAAAACAAAACAUAUAUAGAAUUAACUGCCAACAAACAUGACAAAGUAGUCUACAUAGAAAAGGGUAGUUUUUUCCCCCAAAUGUUGCUGAUAACAAUUGUAUUUUCACAUAAAAAUUGACAGUUGACACAACUCGUGCUGUACGAAAAAAAGUUAACUUGUAAACAAAAAAUUAACUUGUAGUGGAUUAUAGACCUAAAUAUAAAAGCUAAAACCAUAAAACUUCUAGAAGAUAAUAUUGGAUAAAAUAUUCACAAACUUGGAGUGGGCAAAGAUUUCUUAAAACACAAAAAUCACUAACCAUUAAAAAAUCCCAAACCUCAGCAUCACACCAUAUACCCAAGUAAAAAAGCUGCACAUGUACCCACUUAAUCUAAAAUAAAAGUUGAAAAAAAUAAUAAUUUAAAAAAUUUGAAAAAUAAAAGUAAAAUAAAAUAGACAUUUGAGUCUUGAAGGACGGCAUUAAGAAACUGUAAAGGCAAACUAUAUUAAUAAAGAAAGUAUUAAUAAUGCAUAUGGAACAGGAGAGUUUCCUGACCUCUUCUUGGGACUUGUGACAAGAGUGUGGCUUGCUUGCUCUGCCACCACACAUUCAAACACCUUACAGGAAGGGGAGCAUACAGAUGGGCAGGUGCAGGAGCUGGGGUGAGCGCUUUUGGGCUCCUGCCCCAUGGUAGCAUCUAGGAGUAUGUUAUGAUUAAUGCUCUUUUAGCAGUUACCAUCUGUGUAUGGCUAAAUGUUAAACCAGCUCAGUGGAGUGUCAGG